rnacentral:rRNA from 1 species
GGGGCCCAGCAAUGGGCAACCGGCGAACGGGUGCGUAACACGUGAGCAACCUACCGAACUGUGGGGGAUAGCCGGCCUAACGGCCGAGUAAUACCGCAUACGCUUUCAGUGAGGCAUUUCAUUGAAAGGAAACCUACGGGACAGAUCGAGGGGCUCGCGGCCUAUCAGCUAGUUGGCGAGGUAACGGCUCACCAAGGCAACGACGGGUAGCUGGUCUGAGAGGAUGGCCAGCCACAUUGGGACUGAGAUACGGCCCAGACUCCUACGGGAGGCAGCAGUGGGGAAUCUUGCGCAAUGGCCUAACGGCUGACGCAGCGACGCCGCGUGUGGGAUGAAGCUCUUCGGAGUGUAAACCACUGUUGCCCGGGACGAAAUAGCUCGAUUAAUCGAGCCUGACGGUACCGGGUGAGGAAGCACCGGCUAACUCCGUGCCAGCAGCCGCGGUAAUACGGGGGGUGCGAGCGUUGUCCGGAAUCACUGGGCGUAAAGGGCGCGUAGGUGGUUUGAUAAGGGUGUGGUGAAAGUCCGGGGCUCAACCCCGGAUCUGCCGUGCCGACUGUCAAACUCGAGGGCUGUAGAGGCAGACGGAAUUCCGGGUGUAGCGGUGGAAUGCGUAGAGAUCCGGAGGAAGACCGGUGGCGAAGGCGGU